rnacentral:rRNA from 1 species
GUACACUCCUGCGGGAGGCAGCAGUGAGGAAUAUUGGACAAUGGGUGGAAGCCUGAUCCAGCCAUCCCGCGUGCAGGAAGACGGCCCUAUGGGUUGUAAACUGCUUUUAUCUGGGGAUAAACCUACUUACGUGUAAGUAGCUGAAGGUACCAGAAGAAUAAGCACCGGCUAACUCCGUGCCAGCAGCCGCGGUAAUACGGAGGGUGCAAGCGUUAUCCGGAUUUAUUGGGUUUAAAGGGUCCGUAGGCGGACUGAUAAGUCAGUGGUGAAAUCCGACAGCUUAACUGUCGAACUGCCAUUGAUACUGUUAGUCUUGAGUAAGGUUGAAGUGGCUGGAAUAAGUAGUGUAGCGGUGAAAUGCAUAGAUAUUACUUAGAACACCAAUUGCGAAGGCAGGUCACUAAGUCUUAACUGACGCUGAUGGACGAAAGCGUGGGGAGCGAACAGGAUUAGAAACCCCAGUAGUCCC